UACGUAGGGGGCAAGCGUUGUCCGGAAUCAUUGGGCGUAAAGCGCGCGUAGGCGGCCCGGUAAGUCCGUUGUGAAAGUCGAAGGCUCAACCCUUCGAAAGCCGAUGGAUACUGCCGGGCUAGAGUACGGAAGAGGCGAGUGGAAUUCCUGGUGUAGCGGUGGAAUGCGCAGAUAUCAGGAGGAACACCAAUAGCGAAGGCAGCUCGCUGGGACGUUACUGACGCUGAGGCGCGAAAGCGUGGGGAGCGAACAGG
rnacentral:rRNA from 1 species